CGAGUGUUUGAUUUGUGUUCCGAACUUUUUCACACUUUGUGGAGGGUCGUGGACAGUGUUCCGACCUAUGGUUCGAGUCCCGAGAAUUAAGGUUUAAAACUUGGCACCAAAACCCAAAAAGUUGGAUUAUUGGUGUGCUCUCGGGUAGCCUUCAGCAGGGCCGAGUACCGGUAUGCGGUGAUGGCUGUACCGGUACAACCAUCAACACUGGCAGUCUGCACGCCAACCUGAGGCUCGGGUUUGGCUGUUUCGCAGGUGUUGUACCGGUACACGGGCCCGUGUACCGGUACACAAUGCAGUGUGAGCUGGUUUUCGGGCAGGGGGUUAUUUGCAAUUAUUGCAAACCCUAUAUAGCUCACCCCAGCCCCUUAGAGAGCUCUUUUGAGCCCUAGACCUACGGAGACAAGGUGAGAUCUCCUUCCUUUGGUUUCUUUCCUAUUUUUGAUGGAUUUGAACUAGUUUUGAUCCUCCUCUUCCUCUCUUUCUUGCUCCUUGUUGGAUGUUCACCAUGGGUGAAGCUUGGAAGCUCUAGUUGGAACUUGGUAGAGGAAGGAACUCCAACCCUAGAGGACUUGGAGCUUGGUUUGGGGCAUCUUGUGAGGUUAGUACCCUUGAUCUCUCCUUUGGAUCAAGUUUUGGUAGUUUCUAUCUUAUGAAACCCUAGAAUUGGGAUUUAGGCUUUUAGAACUCUCUUGAUGGGUUUAGAACCUUGGAUUAGGUUGCUUUGGAAGGGAUUUGGCUUCCAUUUGAGGUUUGUGAGAGGAUUUCUACCUCAUAGGUGAGUUUUCUCCACCUUAGCCUACGUGGUUUAAUGAUUGAGUUUAGGGUUAAUCGUAAGAUUCGUUUAACUCUUGUUCCUACAUCUUUAGGGUGCUAGGAAGCUAAUGGACACCUUCGUCGGAGCUUA
rnacentral:lncRNA from 1 species